GAGAGGGGAGGAGAAGGGGGAAAGGAGAAGAGAGGAGAAAGUGUGGGCUCUUCUUGGUUGGGAGGGGACCUCAGUAGUAAGAGGUCGGGAUACUCCACUAGGGCCUAGAACUUAGGACAGGGACACAGGGGGCCACCUGGCAUAGAUGCCUUGCUUUUGUCCCAGCAAAGUCAAACCUUUCUAUCCUGCUGUGAGAGAACAGUUAACAGGAGAAGGUGAGAGGGAAGGUGACUGUGACAAGAGACAGCCAUCCUAUCCGCUCUCUUCAGCUUUACACAAUUACCUUUCCCAGAUUCAAGUUUAUAAAGAUGGUGAAACCAGAAACAGGCAUGUGUUUUAUUAAUGUCAGGAGCUGUGUUCACCCCAUGUACCACUAUGGUUUGAGCAACCCACCAUGCCAGAGUGCAUCCAUAUUCUCAUUUAUGAGUUCUUGCAAUUCUCUGAUAUUGGUAUGGAUACACCUGUUUUGUAGGUAACGAAGCUGUGGUUCAGGGGGUUUAGGGGACAUGCUGAAGAUCUCACAUGAGCAAGCGUGAGAGCUAGGAUUUAGUUUCCUGGAUUCCCAAAUGCAUACUCUUCCCACUGUACCCUGGAGGACUUUCACCUUGGGAGUGGCAUUUUGGUGCAGUAUUUGUGUCGAGAACCCUUUCCCUUUGUUAUGGUAGUAUGCACCAAACCCUAUUAUUGUCAAGGAACAAGCAUUUGCAGGUCAUCUUAGGAAACAAGUAUUGUUAGCAAAGAUACACACUUUUCUAAGUCACCAAAUGGUGAAUUCCAACUCUGAUGUGGCAGUUUCAAAAUCGGAAGUUCUUGACCUCGGAUUGCAGUAUUGCCUCACAUCCGGAAGCAGUUUAUGGCGUGGAGUAGCUUAGAGUCAUCUGAACCAUUUCAUACAUGUUGUGUCAGUUGGCUGCAUUCUUACAACAGCCUGGGGGGCAGGUAAGGAAAUUACCAUCCUUAUUUUUCAGGUGAGUAAACACAGGCUCAGAUGCUCAAAAAGUAGCACUCAGUGAACAUGUAUUGGGUGAAUGACUGUACCCACUCCAUGAUGUGGAGACCUAGUCAUUGGUCCAUGAUCAUCCAUUUUCUGACUUGGUUACCAGCCUUGGAGCCCCCAUCUCUGUAUACUGUAUUGUCC
rnacentral:lncRNA from 1 species